CUGCGCUAGAUUGACGCUGGCGGCAGGCUUAACACGUGCAAGUCGAGCGGAGAGAGGUAGCUUGCUACUGAUCUUAGCGGCGGACGGGUGAGUAAUGCUUAGGAAUCUGCCUAUUAGUGGGGGACAACAUUUCGAAAGGAAUGCUAAUACCGCAUACGUCCUACGGGAGAAAGCAGGGGAUCUUCGGACCUUGCGCUAAUAGAUGAGCCUAAGUCGGAUUAGCUAGUUGGUGGGGUAAAGGCCUACCAAGGCGACGAUCUGUAGCGGGUCUGAGAGGAUGAUCCGCCACACUGGGACUGAGACACGGCCCAGACUCCUACGGGAGGCAGCAGUGGGGAAUAUUGGACAAUGGGCGCAAGCCUGAUCCAGCCAUGCCGCGUGUGUGAAGAAGGCCUUAUGGUUGUAAAGCACUUUAAGCGAGGAGGAGGCUACUUUAGUUAAUACCUAGAGAUAGUGGACGUUACUCGCAGAAUAAGCACCGGCUAACUCUGUGCCAGCAGCCGCGGUAAUACAGAGGGUGCAAGCGUUAAUCGGAUUUACUGGGCGUAAAGCGCGCGUAGGCGGCUAAUUAAGUCAAAUGUGAAAUCCCCGAGCUUAACUUGGGAAUUGCAUUCGAUACUGGUUAGCUAGAGUGUGGGAGAGGAUGGUAGAAUUCCAGGUGUAGCGGUGAAAUGCGUAGAGAUCUGGAGGAAUACCGAUGGCGAAGGCAGCCAUCUGGCCUAACACUGACGCUGAGGUGCGAAAGCAUGGGGAGCAAACAGGAUUAGAUACCCUGGUAGUCCAUGCCGUAAACGAUGUCUACUAGCCGUUGGGGCCUUUGAGGCUUUAGUGGCGCAGCUAACGCGAUAAGUAGACCGCCUGGGGAGUACGGUCGCAAGACUAAAACUCAAAUGAAUUGACGGGGGCCCGCACAAGCGGUGGAGCAUGUGGUUUAAUUCGAUGCAACGCGAAGAACCUUACCUGGCCUUGACAUAGUAAGAACUUUCCAGAGAUGGAUUGGUGCCUUCGGGAACUUACAUACAGGUGCUGCAUGGCUGUCGUCAGCUCGUGUCGUGAGAUGUUGGGUUAAGUCCCGCAACGAGCGCAACCCUUUUCCUUAUUUGCCAGCGAGUAAUGUCGGGAACUUUAAGGAUACUGCCAGUGACAAACUGGAGGAAGGCGGGGACGACGUCAAGUCAUCAUGGCCCUUACGGCCAGGGCUACGCACGUGCUACAAUGGUCGGUACAAAGGGUUGCUACCUAGCGAUAGGAUGCUAAUCUCAAAAAGCCGAUCGUAGUCCGGAUUGGAGUCUGCAACUCGACUCCAUGAAGUCGGAAUCGCUAGUAAUCGCGGAUCAGAAUGCCGCGGUGAAUACGUUCCCGGGCCUUGUACACACCGCCCGUCACACCAUGGGAGUUUGUUGCACCAGAAGUAGCUAGCCUAACUGCAAAGAGGGCGGUUACCACGGUGUGGCCGAUGACUGGGGGAAGUAAAACAAUGCCU
rnacentral:rRNA from 1 species